rnacentral:rRNA from 1 species
GAUGAACGCUGGCGGCGUGCCUAAUACAUGCAAGUCGAGCGAACAGACGAGGAGCUUGCUCCUCUGACGUUAGCGGCGGACGGGUGAGUAACACGUGGAUAACCUACCUAUAAGACUGGGAUAACUUCGGGAAACCGGAGCUAAUACCGGCUACUAUAUUGAACCGCAUGGUUCAAUAGUGAAAGACGGUUUUGCUGACACUUAUAGAUGGUUCCGCGCCGCAUUAGCUAGUUGGUAAGGUAACGGCUUACCAAGGCAAUGAUGCGUAGCCGACCUGAGAGGGUGAUCGGCCACACUGGAACUGAGACACGGUCCAGACUCCUACGGGAGGCAGCAGUAGGGAAUCUUCCGCAAUGGGCGAAAGCCUGACGGAGCAACGCCGCGUGAGUGAUGAAGGUCUUCGGAUCGUAAAACUCUGUUAUUAGGGAAGAACAAAUGUGGAAGUAACUAUGCACGUCUUGACGGUACCUAAUCAGAAAGCCACGGCUAACUACGUG